UACAUUGCCUGCUUUGGAUCCCUUCCCUU
rnacentral:piRNA from 1 species